GAGCGUGUAGCUCAGGGGUAGAGCAUCUGCCUUUUAAGCAGAGGGUCGGUGGUUCGAGCCCACCCACGCUCA
rnacentral:tRNA from 1 species